GCGGGUGUAGCUCAAUGGUAGAGCCCCGGCCUUCCAAGCCGGUCGUGAGAGUUCGAUUCUCUUCACCCGCUCCA
rnacentral:tRNA from 1 species